UACGGGAGGCAGCAGUAAGGAAUAUUGGUCAAUGGGCGCAAGCCUGAACCAGCCAUGCCGCGUGCAGGAAGACGGCCCUCCGGGUUGUAAACUGCUUUUAUACCGGAAUAAACCUCCUACGUGUAGGGAGCUGAAUGUACGGUAGGAAUAAGGAUCGGCUAACUCCGUGCCAGCAGCCGCGGUAAUACGGAGGAUCCGAGCGUUAUCCGGGAUUUAUUGGGUUUAAAGGUGCGUAGGCGGCCUGUUAAGUCAGGGGUGAAAGACGGUGGCUCAACCAUCGCAGUGCCCCUUGAUACUGACGGGCUUGAAUUAACUAGAGGCAGGCGGAAUGUGACAAGUAGCGGUGAAAUGCAUAGAUAUGUCACAGAACACCGAUUGCGAAGGCAGCUUGCUAUGGGUUAUAUUGACGCUGAGGGCACGAAAGCGUGGGGAUCGAAACAGGGAUUAGGAUACC
rnacentral:rRNA from 1 species